rnacentral:rRNA from 1 species
CCCAGACUCCUACGGGAGGCAGCAGUGGGGAAUAUUGGGCAAUGGGCGCAAGCCUGACCCAGCAAUGCCGCGUGAAGGAAGAAGGCUUUCGGGUUGUAAACUUCUUUGACAGGGGAAGAGCAGAAGACGGUACCCUGAAAACAAGCCACGGCUAACUACGUGCCAGCAGCCGCGGUAAUACGUAGGGGGCAAGCGUUAUCCGGAAUUAUUGGGCGUAAAGAGUGCGUAGGUGGUUACUUAAGCGCGGGGUUUAAGGCAAUGGCUCAACCAUUGUUCGCCCUGCGAACUGGGUUACUUGAGUGCAGGAGAGGAAAGCGGAAUUCCUAGUGUAGCGGUGAAAUGCGUAGAUAUUAGGAGGAACACCAGUGGCGAAGGCGGCUUUCUGGACUGUUACUGACACUGAGGCACGAAAGUGUGGGGAGCAAACAGGAUUGGAUACCCCGGUAA